GACGAACGCUGGCGGCGUGCCUAAUACAUGCAAGUCGAACGAGAGCGCCCGGUUCUUGCACUGGUCAAUCUAGUGGCGAACGGGUGAGUAACACGUGGGUAACCUGCCCAUCAGAGGGGGAUAACAUCCGGAAACGGAUGCUAAAACCGCAUAGGUCUUCGAACCGCAUGGUUUUAAGAGGAAAAGAGGCGCAAGCUUCUGCUGAUGGAUGGACCCGCGGUGCAUUAGCUAGUUGGUGAGGUAACGACUCACCAAGGCCGUGAUGCAUAGCCGACCUGAGAGGGUGAUCGGCCACAUUGGGACUGAGACACGGCCCAAACUCCUACGGGAGGCAGCAGUAGGGAAUAUUCCGCAAUGGACGCAAGUCUGACGGAGCAACGCCGCGUGAGUGAAGAAGGUUUUCGGAUCGUAAAACUCUGUUGUUAGAGAAGAACAAGUGCUAGAGUAACUGUUAGCGCCUUGACGGUAUCUAACCAGAAAGCCACGGCUAACUACGUG
rnacentral:rRNA from 1 species